UACGAGGGGUGGCAAGCGUUGCUCGGAAUUAUUGGGCGUAAAGGGGUAGGUAGGUGGUCUCAUUUGUCUGGGGUGAAAGCCCUCGAGCUUAACUCGGAGAAGUGCCCCAGAAACGGUGAGACUUGAGUCUUGGAGAGGCUAGCGGAAUUCCCGGUGUCAGCGAUGAAAUGCGUAGAGAUCGGGAGGAACACCAGAGGCGAAGGCGGCUAGCUGGACAAGCACUGACACUCAACUACGAAAAGCGUGGGGGAGCAAACAGG
rnacentral:rRNA from 1 species